CAGAGAACAUCAUCCCCAAUGGGCUGUACUGCCCCACCUGUGUAACAACUGGGGAUACAAAUGAUUGCAGUAAAAUGUUUGCUUGCUCUGGAGAGGAGACUGAAUGCCUGCACUUAACUGACCCAGUUUCAUCGAAUCCUGGUGCCGCCAAGCCCCCAACACCCUACCAAGGCUGUGCAACACCACCAACCUGCAAACUCGGAGAUGCCAUCAAAAACUUUGGUAUCCCGGUAGGCCUACAGACAUGCACAAAACCCACUGCAUUUGCCAGCUCAGCCGCAGGACGUGGCAGACUCCUGCUCCCAUCCUUCAUUGGGCUGAUCCUAGCAAUGCUUCUUGUCUGAGCCUCAGCCCAUGUAAAGGCAAUGAAGCCCAGAGUGCCCACUCUGCAUCCACUCUGCCAUGCCUUGCCCUGGUGCCCUCAGGCUCCACACCGGUUUGAUUCUCUGAUGGUUCAUUAAAGGGAAUGAGGGAAGAGA